GGUCAAGCGAACAAGUGCAUGUGGUGGAUGCCUUGGCGAUCACAGGCGAUGAAGGACGCGGUAGCCUGCGAAAAGCGGUGGGGAGCUGGCAAACGAGCUUUGAUCCACCGAUAUCCGAAUGGGGAAACCCACUCCUUAUGGAGUAUCCAUGGCUGAAUACAUAGGCCAUGUGAAGCGAACGCGGUGAACUGAAACAUCUAAGUAACCGCAGGAACAGAAAUCAACCGAGAUUCCCAAAGUAGUGGCGAGCGAAAUGGGACCAGCCUGUACUCUUUAUCUUUGUUGUUAGCCAAACGCUCUGGAAAGUGCGGCCAUAGUGGGUGAUAGCCCCGUAGGCGAAAACAGCGAGGAAGAACUAGGUGUACGACAAGUAGGGCGGGACACGUGAAAUCCUGUCUGAAGAUGGGGGGACCAUCCUCCAAGGCUAAAUACUCGUGAUCGACCGAUAGUGAACCAGUACCGUGAGGGAAAGGCGAAAAGAACCCCGGGAGGGGAGUGAAACAGAUCCUGAAACCGCAUGCAUACAAACAGUCGGAGCCUCGCAAGGGGUGACGGCGUACCUUUUGUAUAAUGGGUCAGCGACUUACAUUCAGUGGCGAGCUUAACCGAUUAGGGCAGGCGUAGCGAAAGCGAGUCCGAACAGGGCGAUUCAGUCGCUGGGUGUAGACCCGAAACCAGGUGAUCUAUCCAUGGCCAGGAUGAAGGUGCGGUAACACGUACUGGAGGUCCGAACCCACUAACGUUGAAAAGUUAGGGGAUGAGCUGUGGAUAGGGGUGAAAGGCUAAACAAACCUGGAAAUAGCUGGUUCUCUCCGAAAACUAUUUAGGUAGUGCCUCGUGUAUCACCUUCGGGGGUAGAGCACUGUCAUGGUUGAAGGGUCCAUUGCGGAUUACUUCGCCAUAGCAAACUCCGAAUACCGAAGAGUGCAAUCACGGGAGACAGACAUCGGGUGCUAACGUCCGGUGUCAAGAGGGAAACAACCCAGACCGCCAGCUAAGGUCCCCAAAUAUGACUAAGUGGGAAACGAAGUGGGAAGGCUAAAACAGUCAGGAGGUUGGCUUAGAAGCAGCCACCCUUUAAAGAAAGCGUAAUAGCUCACUGAUCGAGUCGUCCUGCGCGGAAGAUGUAACGGGGCUAAGUCAUAUACCGAAGCUGCGGAUGCGUGCAUUGCACGCAUGGUAGGAGAGCGUUCCGUAAGCCUGCGAAGGUGCGUUGAAAAGCGUGCUGGAGGUAUCGGAAGUGCGAAUGCUGACAUGAGUAGCGAUAAAGGGGGUGAAAGGCCCCCUCGCCGUAAGCCCAAGGUUUCCUACGCAACGUUCAUCGGCGUAGGGUGAGUCGGCCCCUAAGGCGAGGCAGAAAUGCGUAGCUGAUGGGAAGCAGGUCAAUAUUCCUGCACCAGUGUGAAAUGCGAUGGGGGGACGGAUCGCGGAAGGUUGUCCGGGUGUUGGAAGUCCCGGUCGCUGCGUUGGAGAAGGUGCUCUGGCAAAUCCGGGCACGGAAUUCAAGGGCGUGGCGCGAGCUUCUUCGG
rnacentral:rRNA from 1 species